rnacentral:rRNA from 1 species
UACGAAGGGUGCAAGCGUUGUCCGGAAUUAUUGGGCGUAAAGCGCGCGCAGGCGGUUCCUUAAGUCUGGUGUAUAAGCCCAGGGCUCAACCUUGGGACGCACGGGAAACUGGGGGACUGGAGUGCAGGAGAGGGAAGCGGAAUUCCACGUGUAGCGGUGAAAUGCGUAGAGAUGUGGAGGAACACCAGUGGCGAAGGCGGCUUUCUGGCCUGUAACUGACGCUGAGGCGCGAAAGCGUGGGGAGCAAACAGG